rnacentral:tRNA from 1 species
AGCUCCGUGGUGAGAACACAUCGGAUUGCAAAUCCGGAGACGCAGACUAAUACUCUGCCGGGGCUU